GGGGCCCCGCACAAGCAGCGGAGCGUGUGGUUUAAUUCGAUGCUACACGAAGAACCUUACCAGGGUUUGACAUGCAAGUGGUAGGAAACCGAAAGGCGACCGACCCUUCGGGGAGCUUGCACAGGUGCUGCAUGGCUGUCGUCAGCUCGUGUCGUGAGAUGUUCGGUUAAGUCCGCUAACGAGCGCAACCCUCGCUGUGUGUUACAAGUGUCACACGGUACUGCCGGUCUUAAGCCGGAGGAAGGUGGGGAUGACGUCAAGUCAGCAUGGCCUUUAUGUCCUGGGCUACACACACGCUACAAUGGCCAACACAAUAGGUUGCUAAGCCGCGAGGUGGAGCCAAUCCUCAAAGUUGGUCUCAGUUCAGAUUGCAGGCUGCAACCCGCCUGCAUGAAGAUGGAGUUGCUAGUAACCGCAGGUCAGCUAUACUGCGGUGAAUACGUUCCCGGGGCUU
rnacentral:rRNA from 1 species